rnacentral:lncRNA from 1 species
CAGAGCCCCAAAGGAGCCUAUCACUAACGAGAGCCAUCAGGACCAGUGGCCAGCUGCUAAAGCAGAGCGGCAAAGUACUGAAGGCAGGCGUAAAUUCUCCAAGAACAUCUGGUUCAUUCCCAUGGAGGAAGCUCUGGCAGAGUGAGGGGAGCCCAGGAGAUGAGUCGCUCACAGACCCCUAUUUCCCAGGGAAUGUGGACGUGUGUCCCUUCCCAGGCAGUAGCUGUAACUUGUCCAGCGGCAGUGGGAAUCGGCAAGAGUACACUGUCUGUGUACAGAGCAUCUUAUGACUUUUCCUGAGCACGGAGGAGAAGAAGAGAAAGAUGAAAACUAGACGCUUCUAAUACAAGACAGCCAAAGGAGAGAGGAGCUCUGUCGUGAAGCUGACCUGAAUCGGAGAGGAGGAGACAAAGAGUCCAGCAAGGGCAAUGUGAGAAUUGCUGAACAGAUGUCAGGAAAAGGAAAACAAUGAAGACUCAGACCAGCAAAGGCUUUGAUUUCAAAAGACCUUUACUGAAGAUCUUAAGGGCUGUUUUAGGAGGAAGGAAACUGACCUCAGACGGGAGAGGUGCUAUUUUUAGGACGCAGGAAAACUUGGGAAGUACAUUGGUCAAUCAAAACAAAUAUUGAUUUAUUAUAUCAAACAGUCAAACAAGCCCUCUAUAGUACAGAAUUGGAGUGGGAACCUCUUGAUCCCCACGAAUCAGGAAUAUGAAAAUGAAACUGUUUACAAACCACAAAGAAAGUAGAUUUUACGCUAUCUUGACAUUUAAUCUUAUCUAUGGGGCAAUACCUAUGUUGUUAGUCGUUUCAUAAUGCACACCAUAUUUAGAAAUGAGCUUUGCAAAUAAAGAGUAAAAUCCAGGCAUG